UCUGAUCCAAACCCAUUGAAA
rnacentral:miRNA from 1 species